rnacentral:misc_RNA from 1 species
ACGAAUUUGAAGGGGACGCUGAGCUGGCCCUCCGGGGCAUGUGCCCGCUCCCCGUCAGAUCCAUUGCAACACCUGUGCACUUCAGAGGGAGGGGUCGGUCCCGCCUAACUGCGGGGCCUUCCCCUUCCUCCACUACAUCACAAACUCUUGACAGUACCUAGAACGUUGAGUCGCCUGAGACAUGGCACAACCUAAUA